CAAUAGCGUAUAUUAAAGUUGUUGCAGUUAAAAAGCUCGUAGUUGGAUUUGUGGCGUACGGUGUGUUCCGGGCACUUGUUGUCUGAGUAACCUGCUGUUGCCAUCCUUGGGUGGAACCUGUGUGGCAUUAGGUUGUCGUGCAGGGGAUGCCCAUCAUUUACUGUGAAAAAAUUAGAGUGUUCAAAGCAGGCUUAUGCCGUUGAAUAUAUUAGCAUGGAAUAAUGAGAUAGGACUUUUUUGCUAUUUUGUUGGUUUGCGCAAAGAGGUAAUGAUUAAUAGGGACAGUUGGGGGUAUUCGUAUUCCAUUGUCAGAGGUGAAAUUCUUGGAUUUUUGGAAGACGAACUACUGCGAAAGCAUUUGCCAAGAAUGUUUUCAUUAA
rnacentral:rRNA from 1 species